UCGUUCCCUUUCUCUCCUCAUUAGUUUUCGCUCUCUCUCUCUCUCUCUCUCUCUCUCCUGUCACAGACUCUCUGUAAAAAGCUCGGAGAGAGUCGGUUCGCCGCUUAUGGCCGCGUCGAUGUCACGCUCCGACUGAUCAAUGCCUCUAAGAGACUCCUUCUCCGAGAGAAUGGAGGGCACCGGUAGCUGGGACGCCCUCGAAUGGACCAAGAUUGAGCCGGUUUCGCGGUCAAUUUCGUAUACGAAUUUGGAGUUCUUGAUUGAGGCAGAGCAAGUCAUAGUGGAGGUACUUAGAGAAUUCAGCUUGCUUGUUUUUUUCUUUUUCUCCCGAUUCCUCAAACGCGAUUCCUGUUACAUUUGUUCACGGAUUUGUGAAAUCUUAAGGUUCUCUUGUGAUGUGGGUGGACGGAGAGAUCUUCUAUCUUAGAGUUCACUGUGCCCUCAAUCUGUCCAAAUUUGUGGACGUUUUUGGUGGGUUUUUUUUUGCCCAAUUUCCCCUUGAUGAAUUUUUUCUUCUUUUCUCGCUCGAUUCGUCGAUUUCCUCCAGUUUUUGUGGGCUUACCACUUAGAUUUCGAUCAGUCGGCGAAAAUUAGUUGAUUUUUUGCUCUUUUUUUUUGAGUUCUUCGUCAUGAGAUUUGACUGAUUUGGAGGGCAUUUGUGCGAAAGAUUUCUGGGUUCUGUCUUGUCAAGUUGUUGUAAGCACUGUUUUGAUCUGAUUUCUUCGUCUGGGCAGUGAAAAUUUGUGAUUUUGCAAGGAUUCUUUGUUGGGGAAAUUGAUGUUGUAAUCUAGUUGGGUGUCAUGGUUUUUCCAAUUAUAGUUCUUCUUUGAGGACGUUGAGGGCUUCCCACAACUAAAGGAAGUUUUUUGCUAUCUGGCCAUUGGGAAAAAGGAAAAAAAAAUUAAAUUAAAUGUUUCAUUCUCUGAGUUCUUCGAAACAAACUUGUAGCCUUCUUGUAGUCACUUGUGGGAAAGUCUCUAAAUCCAAACGCAAAAAGGAUGUGUUCGAGAAUCAGCCGCUGUAUCCCUUCCCGGAGUUGGUCUCUUCAGGCCGUUUGGAGGUUCAAACUCUGACCAGCCCAAGCAAAGAGGAGUUCUCUAAACUCCUUGAAUCAUAUAAGCCAAAUCUUGUAUACUUACAAGGAGAACAACUUGGGAAUGAUGAGGUUGGGCCUCUGGUUUGGGGAGAUGUCGACCUGUCGACCCUUUGAAUCGGUGUCCGAGCUCUUUGGCACUACAUUGCCUACCACGUACUUUGGGAUGAAGGCUCUCCAAAGUCUAAGCUAGAUAGGAAAGUUGUGAGUUGCUUAGAAAAUGGGUCUUCUACAGCCAUGCCACUCUCCUCCAUUGGCCUCCGCGAAGAUAGGGCCAUCAACAUUUAUUAUACCUCCAACACGCCUGGUUGGUUAUCCUUUAUUCAUGCUCUUGGAGCUAUUUGAAUCAUCAGAGCUGUCUGAAGCAUCAAUUCUCUUCAGAGUUGGAGCAUUUUUUGACGAUGGAUCAAUUUGUUAGGGCACUUUGUUUAGCUAGAUAUUUUGGAACGUCUUGAUACUCUACUAACUAAUUUGUUGGUUUUUAGAUUUAUGAUACCUGUGUUGUGGAACUAUUGGUAUGAUGAUUUAUAUUAUGUACAAGUUGCCAACUUGAAAAUA